UGGGGAAUUUUGGACGAUGGGCGCAAGCCUGAUCCAGCCAUUCCGCGUGCAGGAUGAAGGCCCUCGGGUUGUAAACUGCUUUUGUACGGAACGAAAAGCCUUUUUCUAAUACAAGAAGGUCAUGACGGUACCGUAAGAAUAAGCACCGGCUAACUACGUGCCAGCAGCCGCGGUAAUACGUAGGGUGCAAGCGUUAAUCGGAAUUACUGGGCGUAAAGCGUGCGCAGGCGGUUAUAUAAGACAGAUGUGAAAUCCCCGGGCUCAACCUGGGGACUGCAUUUGUGACUGUAUAGCUAGAGUACGGCAGAGGGGGAUGGAAUUCCGCGUGUAGCAGUGAAAUGCGUAGAUAUGCGGAGGAACACCGAUGGCGAAGGCAAUCCCCUGGGCCUGUACUGACGCUCAUGCACGAAAGCGUGGGGAGCAAACA
rnacentral:rRNA from 1 species